CCUACGGGAGGCAGCAGUGGGGAAUAUUGCACAAUGGGGGAAACCCUGAUGCAGCGACGCCGCGUGAGUGAAGAAGGAACUCGGUAUGUAAAGCUCUAUCAGCAGGGAAGAAAAUGACGGUACCUGAGUAAGAAGCCCCGGCUAACUACGUGCCAGCAGCCGCGGUAAUACGUAGGGGGCAAGCGUUAUCCGGAUUUACUGGGUGUAAAGGGAGCGUAGACGGCAGUGCAAGUCUGGAGUGAAAGGCGGGGGCUCAACCCCCGGACUGCUAUGGAAACUGUACGGCUGGAGUGCAGGAGAGGUAAGCGGAAUUCGUGGUGUAGCGGUGAAAUGCGUAGAUAUUAGGAGGAACACCGGUGGCGAAGGCGGCUUACUGGACUGUAACUGACGUUGAGGCUCGAAAGCGUGGGGAGCAAACAGGAUUAGAUACCCUUGUAGUC
rnacentral:rRNA from 1 species